AUGUCUGAACAACUGAGGCUGGAAAUGGAGAACAUGUCUUGGAGUUCCCUGCACAAGAUUCCUGUUUCCAGUCUCACUGUGUCUGGCUGUCCUUGGAGCACUCAUGCCCGUUGCAGUGAGCAGAAGGGAGCCCUGGUUGGGUGCUGUUCUGAGCAUACAGGGCCACUGGUGUCCCUACAGCAGUAUGGCAGAGCACUGCAUCAGGUGAGUUACACACCAGUUUAGAGCCUGAGCUGGUAACAGCUUUUGUUUCCAGCUUCAAUGGUGUAAUUUGUAGUUAUCUGUGUUUUUAAAAGCAGUGCGUUUCAGUUUGAGUGACAGACAAUUUAAUACAUAUCCCACAGCGCAGCCUUCACUCCUGUGGGAAUAGGGGUAGUGCUGUCAGUUAGCAGGAGGUCAGCUUUUUCAUCUGCUACACUCUUCCUGAGUGACCUUGGACAAGCCCUUCGAUCUGUUUAUCUGUGUGGCCCUCAGUUUGUCUGGCUGUUUAGACAAGAGAGGAAGGAAAUGCCCCCCCUCACAGCCCUUACUCUUUCACAGUGAGAUAAGAUGCUUCCUCAUGCAGAGAUCACCUUCUGCUGUGUUUGGAUGUAAUGGUCUGAUGUCUGCAAGCUCUAGAAACAACUUACUGUAAAUGAUUCUAAUAACAACACUAACACUGUAUACUUUUCAAUACGCCUGCAUGAGGCAACAUCUGUGUGUGUUUAGAUAAGCUGGAAGCAGCUGUAUUUGGCCUCUGCACCAGCUGCUGUGAUUGCAGUGCAGUUCUCUGCUGGUCAGUGCGCGUGCCGGUGGGUACGGCUGGGAACACAACUCCGUGUACGUUGCAAUCUCUGUAUUUAGUGCCUGCUAUUGGCACUCUCAUCUCUCUUACUUAUGAAUAAGUGGGUGAGGGAGGAGAGGGCUGGGCUGGGCUGACUCCUUCACAGAUGAAACAUAAAGAGCACAGGAGCUGAAACACAAUCUCCUCCUCCUUUCCUGCGCUGUUUCACGCACAGCCUUGCUCACAGCUGGGAGGAGGACAGCCUCACCAGCAGCCUGAGCAGGAGUGAGGAGAAGGGAAGUUUUGUGCUCUUCACACUGCAGGCGAAACAUCUUUGCAUGAACUCUGCGAAAAGGUGAGUUUCAUUUUUAUCUGUUCAUUCUUGAAAGCAAGUUAAUUUUCCAUCAUUGAGCUAGGUCUCACCCCUGGAGAGGUGGUAAAACAGUUUUCUAUCUGAGAUGUUAAAGCAAAAAAACGAGGUGCUCCAAGGACUCAAGCAAAGCAACGUGUCCAAAAAAAAUUCACAACUUCAAGAUUAAUUUCCUUGGCAAAGUUCCUACUAGCAGGAACUUGGAAUAAAGAUUUUCCCAGAACCACUUUCUUGAGUUCCAAUUAGGCACAAGGAGAGCUGACUGUUCAAGUUGUAUUGAUGAGAGGAAAUUGUUAACAUAAACUGAGAAACUGUUGUUUGCAGCAAGGAAUCAGAGCAGUAGCCUGAAGAUAAGUUCCUGGAGUCAUUUUCAGAGAACUUAGUAGUACUGUAUAAGUUGACUAGAUACAAGAUAUUUGGAAGGACUAGUAAGUGACUUAAAUACUUAAUUUCCCCUGAGAACACAAGCCAAAAGUUACACCUGGCAUGAAAUUGCUAAACCACAUACCUUGAUGUGUGGGUGCUCCAUGUACACCCAUGUAGUUUUGUCUUUGUAUCUCAAACGUAUGUUAUUACUAUAUUUUCCAAACACUAAGCUACUUUUCUUGCUGCUGUUCAGAAUCUGACUUGGGAAACUUGAAAUGUGAGGGUUUGUUUAGUGAAGUGAAAUCCAUCAGGUGAGGAAUUAAUUUUUUUUUUCAAUAGGAUCAAAAAUUUUUGUUCAUUAUUGUAGCUUGUCCUUGUUAUGAGAACGUUUUUCUGGUUCUUGUCAGUCUCUGUAAAGGAACAAGAAAAGCAAUUCAGUGUGUGAUGCUUUCUUCUUUUGUGUGUUGCAUGGGGAGAGGAGCUGAAAAAUGGAGAAUUUAGAAGAAUGUAACAGCUUGUCCUGUCCUUUUCUGUUCAGAACACAUGCAGAUAUUUAUUAAUAAAAAUGUAAGGAGACUUAGUAAAGUAAGUAAAAAUGGCUACAUGUAGGCUCAUAAGACAUGACAGAGUCACUGUGAGCAUUAUGGGACUUUCUGAGCAGUCUGUUAGUCAGUACCCACUGUGACUUUUUCCACAUUAGCACUCUGUAUUCACACUGGCUCCAGAAGAGCAGAAUGUCUAACCACUUCUUCUUUCAAGUUUUCUUUAACCAAGAAGCCAGUAAAAGAUAGCCAAUCCUGUGUAUUUAACACCCACUCUUCCAUUUCUUCUUUGAGGAAACAAAAUUUUCUAUUGUCCUCAGCCCUAUCCUUCCUGCCUCCCCGUCUUACUGCUGCUAUGUUGUUAUUCCCCCAUAUCAGGCUGCUCCUGUGCAGGCACUUGUAAAGUCUUUCUGCUGUAUGAGUGAAGAGGCAGAAGAGCGCGGUUUCCAGCUUAUUUUACGCUCCAUGCUAAACAGCUGUAGGUAAGAUGAGAAGUAGAUGUAGAUAGCAUGGAAAGUACAUCCCCAAAGUUUUAAAGGACUUUACAGGGUCUAGGAAGUAUACUGUAAGAAAGUGUUGGGUUUAUAGGAUCAGACUAGCAUGUUGUUCUGUGAUAGCAGGGGUGAAAAUGUCUACAUCAUAGCAUUGUGAUUUGAAUAUCACAGUUUUAAAUGAAGAAAGAUUUGGUGGUUCCAAUAUCUCAUUAAAAAGCCUUGUGUCACUUGACAUCUUCGUUGAGAGGUAUUUAUUUCACUUUGUGGUUGGUGGACAAAAAUUGACUCCCUUUGUUCUGGAUCUGAGGACUGCAAGUAAUCUUACAGCAGUGGGAAAAGAGAGAAGCGGGAUAUGGGGAAAGGGAAGAGAAGGGAUGAAAGUGAAUCUCUGCAGAACUAGGUGUA
rnacentral:lncRNA from 13 species